GAUGAACGCUGGCGGCGUGCCUAACACAUGCAAGUCGAACGGAGAUUACGGACGGAAGUUUUCGGAUGGAAGCCUGUAAUUCUUAGUGGCGGACGGGUGAGUAGCGCGUGGGCAACCUGCCCUAUACAGGGGGAUAGCAGCUGGAAACGGCUGGUAAGACCGCAUAAGUCGGUUAAAUCGCAUGAUUUGAUCGGGAAAUGAGCAAUCAGGUAUAGGAUGGGCCCGCGUCCGAUUAGCCAGUUGGCAGGGUAAAAGCCUACCAAAGCGACGAUCGGUAGCCGGACUGAGAGGUCGGACGGCCACAGUGGGACUGAGACACGGCCCAAACUCCUACGGGAGGCAGCAGUGGGGGAUAUUGCACAAUGGAGGAAACUCUGAUGCAGCGACGCCGCGUGAGUGAAGAAGUAUUUCGGUAUGUAAAGCUCUAUCAGCAGGGAAGAUGAUGACGGUACCUGACUAAGAAGCCCCGGCUAACUACGUG
rnacentral:rRNA from 1 species